AAAAUUGCGGAACAUAGCGCUGCUAAUGACUCUGCAGGUGCAAAAAAAAAAAUCCAUUAAAAAGCCGACAGGAUGGAAUACAUUUUUCCAGGCAGUUGCGGUAUAAUUUAGCAUUAUAUUGUAGGACCUAAACUCGGGGAGGCGCGGCCACCGAGAUGCACAACAAGCUCUUCGCAGGCCACACACGUAUUAGGUAAGCAGAACCCAUUGUCUUAAAGUUUGAAUCUUCAAUAGAAUUAGUUAUAUGAACAUUUAGGUGAGGAGCUUGUAGUACCUCUGUCUGAUCGCGGAGCUCCGUGGUUUCGGGCCUCGGGUUGAAAAUCAUAACAGCCGUGUAGUUGGACGGCCGCGGACAACGCUAACAGAUUUAAUUAAAUAAUUAUAUUCCAGGAGCAAGGGGCCAGAAGUGUGUUUUUUAUGGGAAUAUAGAUAGAAGGUAUCAAUUCCCAUCUAGAUCUAAUGUUUGUACCGUUUGAGACAUAAUACAUGCGGUUUAAUUGUUACAUAGUGAGGGGACGAAGUACUCACCAAGGUAUUAUUUAUAAACGACUACUUGGGUUGAUCGCCGUUACGGAGCGGUUCAACUGGUCGGAUAGUCUAGUUACUCUAUUAAUUGGUUGCAUAUUCUCCCGUUGGCUUGGGCUUUGUUUGCCCUGAGGCGAUACCUCAUGUUAUAUGAGCGGUAGGGGCUCGAAUGGGAUCGGUUCCCCACAGCACGGUAGAUGUAACUCCAUUCUGCAUCUUUUUAUAAUCUCCCUUCCGUAGAGGCGGCCUUGCGCAGUUUUAACCCAACUGCUUUGCAUGCUUCACUAACCCGCCGUGGAAACAAACUUGCAGGCAUCUCAUACUUCCUACAGGGAUCUACGGAGCCCCCCAAGGGACAUGGAGGGAAAAAAAAAAAAAAAAAAAAUUGGUUGAAAAUAAAUAAAUAAAUAAUGUUUUGCGAGAUAUCUCCUACAUUCACCAUUCAUAAAAUCCCCCCUGCGCGCUCGCGCUCUGCCCUGUCUGUUACGAAGCGCGAAGCUGCCCCUGCAUCUCUCUGCACGUUAGUUGUAUCCACUCGCCAUAAGGCGACGUACAGAAGGAAAUUCAGACAAAAUGUACGUCUACUCUCGACGUGUGGAUAAGUUCGUCGCCACUCAGACGCCUGCUACCCUACGUCGCCGUGGGAACGCCUGAACUUGGUAUGUGCCCACAAAGCGCUUCAGUGUGAUUUUAUGACGUAGUUUACGAUUAACUAGUGUUUUAUACAACCAGCACAUUUAUAUCACUUGGAACAGCAAUGUAUAAUGUAGGACAGAUAAACUGUUGUUUAAAUGUAGGCCAUUUUGAUGGUGCCUGUUUUGAUACGGUUAUUCACUCUCAAAGUAGACCUAUUAUUGUUUUAGUUGAGAUAAUGAAUUGCUCAUUUGUUUGGGUAAAGCGCUUCCGUGUGAUUUUAUGACUUAGUUUAGGAUUUACUAGUGUUUUAUACAACCAGCACAUUUAUAUCACUUGGAACAGCAAUGUAUAAUGUUGUAGGACGGAUAAAGUGUUGUUUAAAUGUAGGCUAUUUUGAUGGUGCCUGUUUUGAUACGGUUAUUCACUCUCAAAGUAGACCUAUUAUUGUUUUAGUUGAGAUAAUGAAUUGCUAAUUUGUUUGGGUAAUUUACUGUAAUUAAAAUGGGUAGGUCUACAGACUUGGCAUUAAACACCACUGAAAGUGUUAUCUUUUACUACAGUAUAUCUGUUAAGAGUCACAUUUAUACUUAAUAUUUAUAUUAAUGUAAUUAGAUAAAUGAAUUUGAUUUGAAGGUUUAUUUUGGUUAUUGGUUAUUGGGUUUAUUUAAUCAGAGUCAUACAGAAGAAAUUGUGUAGAUUAUUCAUUGAUUGAGAUAACAAUGCUAAGAAUAUCUGAUGUGGUGUAAAAUAAAGGAGAUGACAAUGGCAGCCAACAUAACCAGCGUUAAAUCUCCUCUCUUGCCUGUUUUCAUAUUUCCUUGUACACACAGGAGACUAUAGAUCUACCAACACAACAAUUUAUUAUCCGUACAAUACCAAGAAUAAACAGAUUUUCACGAGUAUAUGAUUACAAUCAUGAAUACAAUUUGAAUUAAGCUCACAUUCACAAACAAAUAUAUUCUAAAUGAAUACUCUGAGCAAGCAUGACAAUACUGCAAGGCAAGCCAUUACAUCAUGUCUUGUACUACACUAAUGCUACUCAAUACCUUUGCAAAUACUUUGCAGGAGGGAGAAGCCCAGCACAGUGACCUGACUGCAAUCGUGUGUUUGAGGCACUUUUCAUCCAACUCUACGAGCAGUACUGUGGAUCAAGGCGCGUAUGUGGAGUCAGGCACCAUUGUUUGAGCCAUACCCCCACAUCCGGCAAGUCAUUAUUAUUAAUAUCAUGGUGAUGGAGAAAAGCACCACCCGGCUCCAAGUGAUAAAUACUGCGACAAUCACAAGAUGUUGAGUUUAUAAACACUUUACCCAGCCAGUAAUAACCUAGUAUCUGUGCCAUUUCCUGUGUAGCCAUGUUGUCAUCUGAUAUUAUGCUUUGUUAUACAAAAAAGGUAAUACUUUUAGGCACUGCACAGGGAGAACUGUCGCGAGCCCAUAGAGGCUCCAUCUUCUGUUCUGAGGCCUGCUCCUGAGCUUCCUCUCCAGUCAACCAAACCAGCUCUUCAACCACUUGCCCACACCUCCACUUCUCCUGCCUGCCUCCCAGAUUCUGGUUCCUGUGGUUCCGGUUCUAAACCUGCAGAAGCGUCUCUGAUGUCCCUUACACCACCCAGCGCUACCACAAAAAUGAAAGACAGGAGGCAAGGAGAAGACUGGCAAAAUAGAGAGGAAUUACUCUAGGGGCCAGAGUGUAUAAGUGCAUAAUUAAUUCUGAAUGUUGAGCAUAUUCAUGUGAGAAGUGUAUUUUAGACAAGUACACCCCUACAGAAACUUACAUAAUUGUAUUGUCUAGUCAUUAUUUUUGCCAUUAAUUGUUUAAGUCAUUUUUUCUUGUUGUUUGAUUUCAUUGUGCAGUAUACAUUGUGCUCCACUUAUUUUUACACAGGCAUAGUAUUGAUUUGUGUAGUACCACAGGGUGGAUUUGACCUUUCUGUCCUCUGAAACCUUAACACUUUGUAGUUCAGUACUGACAUGAAUGUUUAUCAAAAAAGUGUCGUUAUUAAUGUGUCGUCUUUGUCCGUGUAUAUUUGCAGAAAUGUAAGUAAAGAGAAACUCUUCAAAGCACUCUGACUUUCAUUAUUCAAGUGUGAUACAUUCACAGUGUUUCGGUGGCAUAUAUGAACGACACGAGGGCUGAG
ensembl:lncRNA